GCAAAAGAAACUAACAAGGAUUCCCCUAGUAACUGCGAGUGAAGCGGGAAAAGCUCAAAUUUAAAAUCUGAGGGUCUUGUUGGCCUUCCGAGUUGUAAUCUAGAGAAGUGCUAUCCGCGCUGGACCGUGUACAAGUCUCCUGGAACGGAGCGUCAUAGAGGGUGAGAAUCCCGUCUUUGACACGGACUACCAGGGCUUUGUGUGAUACGCUCUCAAAGAGUCGAGUUGUUUGGGAAUGCAGCUCUAAAUGGGUGGUAAAUUCCAUCUAAAGCUAAAUAUUGGCGAGAGACCGAUAGCGAACAAGUACCGUGAGGGAAAGAUGAAAAGAACUUUGGAAAGAGAGUUAAAAAGUACGUGAAAUUGUUGAAAGGGAAACGCUUGAAGUCAGUCGCAUUGGCCAGGGAUCAACCUUGCUUUUGCUUGGUUUAUUUUCUGGUUAAUGGGUCAGCAUCAAUUUUGAUCGGUGGAAAAAGAUCAAGGGAAUGUGGCAUCUUCGGAUGUGUUUUAUAGCCUUUGGUUGUAUACAUCGAUUGGGAUUGAGGAACUCAGCACGCCGCAAGGCCGGGUUUUUAACCACGUACGUGCUUAGGAUGCUGGCAUAAUGGCUUUAAUCGACCCGUCUUGAAACACGGACCAAGGAGUCUAACAUGCACGCGAGUGUUUGGGUGGAAAACCCGAGCGCGUAAUGAAAGUGAAAAUUGAGAUCCCUGUCGUGGGGAGCAUCGAUGCCCGGACCAGAUCUUUUGUGACGGUUCCGCGGUUGAGCGUGUAUGCUGGGACCCGAAAGAUGGUGAACUAUGCCUGAAUAGGGUGAAGCCAGAGGAAACUCUGGUGGAGGCUCGUAGCGAUUCUGACGUGCAAAUCGAUCGUCAAAUUUGGGUAUAGGGGCGAAAGACUAAUCGAACCAUCUAGUAGCUGUCUCCC
rnacentral:rRNA from 1 species